rnacentral:rRNA from 1 species
GACGAACCGUCCUAACGUUGUUCGGAAUCACUGGGCUUAAAGGGCGCGUAGGCGGGUCAGCAAGUCCGGGGUGAAAUCUUUCGGCUCAACCGGAAAAUAGCCUUGGAUACUGCUGGUCUUGAGGGAGGUAGGGGCCUGUGGAACUUCCGGUGGAGCGGUGAAAUGCGUUGAUAUCGGAAGGAACGCCGGUGGCGAAAGCGACGGGCUGGACCGCUUCUGACGCUGAGGCGCGAAAGCUAGGGGAGCAAACGGG